AUUGAACGCUGGCGGCAUGCCUUACACAUGCAAGUCGAACGGCAGCGGGGACUUCGGUCCGCCGGCGAGUGGCGAACGGGUGAGUAAUGUAUCGGAACGUACCUUUCAGUGGGGGAUAACGUAGCGAAAGUUACGCUAAUACUGCAUAUUCUCUGAGGAGGAAAGCAGGGGACCUUCGGGCCUUGUGCUGAGGGCGCGGCCGAUAUCAGAUUAGCUAGUUGGUGAGGUAAAGGCUCACCAAGGCGACGAUCUGUAGCGGGUCUGAGAGGAUGAUCCGCCACACUGGGACUGAGACACGGCCCAGACUCCUACGGGAGGCAGCAGUGGGGAAUUUUGGACAAUGGGCGCAAGCCUGAUCCAGCCAUGCCGCGUGAGUGAAGAAGGCCUUCGGGUUGUAAAGCUCUUUCGGACGGGAAGAAAUUGGUGGGGCUAAUAUCCCCAUCGGAUGACGGUACCGGAAUAAGAAGCACCGGCUAACUACGUGCCAGCCGCCGCUGUAAGAC
rnacentral:rRNA from 1 species